rnacentral:rRNA from 1 species
UACGUAGGGGGCUAGCGUUGUCCGGAUUUAUUGGGCGUAAAGAGCGUGUAGGCGGCCAGAUAGGUCCGUUGUGAAAACUGGAGGCUUAACCUCCAGCGGUCGAUGGAAACCAUUUGGCUAGAGUCCGGAAGAGGAGAGUGGAAUUCCUGGUGUAGCGGUGAAAUGCGUAGAGAUCAUGAGGAAGACCAGUGGCGAAGGCGGGUCUCUGGACAGUUCCUGACACUGAGACACGAAGGCCAGGGGAGCAAACGGG